rnacentral:rRNA from 2 species
GAGCACGCCGCGUGAGUGAUGAAGGUUUUCGGAUCGUAAAGCUCUGUUGUUAGGGAAGAACAAGUGCCGUUCAAAUAGGGCGGCACCUUGACGGUACCUAACCAGAAAGCCACGGCUAACUACGUGCCAGCAGCCGCGGUAAUACGUAGGUGGCAAGCGUUGUCCGGAAUUAUUGGGCGUAAAGGGCUCGCAGGCGGUUUCUUAAGUCUGAUGUGAAAGCCCCCGGCUCAACCGGGGAGGGUCAUUGGAAACUGGGGAACUUGAGUGCAGAAGAGGAGAGUGGAAUUCCACGUGUAGCGGUGAAAUGCGUAGAGAUGUGGAGGAACACCAGUGGCGAAGGCGACUCUCUGGUCUGUAACUGACGCUGAGGAGCGAAAGCGUGGGGGAGCGAACAGGAUUAGAUACCCUGGUAGUCCACG